UACGUAGGGUCCGAGCGUUGUCCGGAAUUACUGGGCGUAAAGAGCUCGUAGGUGGUUUGUCACGUUGUUCGUGAAAACCCACAGCUCAACUGUGGGCGUGCGAGCGAUACGGGCAGACUAGAGUACUGCAGGGGAGACUGGAAUUCCUGGUGUAGCGGUGGAAUGCGCAGAUAUCAGGAGGAACACCGGUGGCGAAGGCGGGUCUCUGGGCAGUAACUGACACUGAGGAGCGAAAGCGUGGGGAGCGAACAGG
rnacentral:rRNA from 1 species